rnacentral:rRNA from 1 species
CUCCGUAGGUGAACCUGCGGAGGGAUCAUUACCGAGUUUACAACUCCCAAACCCAAUGUGAACGUUACCAAACUGUUGCCUCGGCGGGGUCACGCCCCGGGUGCGUCGCAGCCCCGGAACCAGGCGCCCGCCGGAGGAACCAACCAAACUCUUUCUGUAGUCCCCUCGCGGACGUAUUUCUUACAGCUCUGAGCAAAAAUUCAAAAUGAAUCAAAACUUUCAACAACGGAUCUCUUGGUUCUGGCAUCGAUGAAGAACGCAGCGAAAUGCGAUAAGUAAUGUGAAUUGCAGAAUUCAGUGAAUCAUCGAAUCUUUGAACGCACAUUGCGCCCGCCAGUAUUCUGGCGGGCAUGCCUGUCCGAGCGUCAUUUCAACCCUCGAACCCCUCCGGGGGAUCGGCGUUGGGGAUCGGGACCCCUCACACGGGUGCCGGCCCCGAAAUACAGUGGCGGUCUCGCCGCAGCCUCUCCUGCGCAGUAGUUUGCACAACUCGCACCGGGAGCGCGGCGCGUCCACGUCCGUAAAACACCCAACUUUCUGAAAUGUUGACCUCGGAUCAGGUAGGAAUACCCGCUGAACUUAAGCAUAUCAAUAAGCGGAGGAA